rnacentral:rRNA from 1 species
CAGCCGCCACGGUAAUACAGAGGAUGCAGGCGUUAUCCGGAAUGAUUGGGCGUAAAGCGUCUGUAGGUGGCUUUUCAAGUCCGCCGUCAAAUCCCAGGGUUCAACCCUGGACAGGCGGUGGAAACUACCAAGCUGGAGUGCGGUAGGGGCAGAGGGAAUUUCCGGUGGAGCGGUGAAAUGCGUUGAGAUCGGAAAGAACACCAACGGAGAAAGCACUCUGCUGGGCCGACACUGACACUGAGAGACGAAAUCUAGGGGAGCAAAUGGGAUUAGAUACCCCUGUAGUCCCUGUCUCUUAUAA